rnacentral:rRNA from 1 species
UACAGAGGGGGCAAGCGUUGUUCGGAAUUACUGGGCGUAAAGGGCGCGUAGGCGGCCUGUUAAGUCGAACGUGAAAUCCCCGGGCUCAACCCGGGAACUGCGUCCGAUACUGGCUGGCUUGAAUCCGGGAGAGGGAUGUGGAAUUCCAGGUGUAGCGGUGAAAUGCGUAGAUAUCUGGAGGAACACCGGUGGCGAAGGCGGCAUCCUGGACCGGUAUUGACGCUGAGGCGCGAAAGCCAGGGGAGCAAACGGG